ACCUAAAGGGAUGGGCAGAAUGACCCAGCCAACUUGCUCUUCCAGGAAAACUUCAGGAUGGAAAACAGCUCCUGCUUCAUCCUGAGGAUCUUAUUCAUUUGCUACCAGGAUCAGCAUACGCUUUUUACCCAAGAACUCUGAAGCCCUGGAAGAUGGUAGCUUCACAAGAUGGAAGCAGCCUGGAUCCCUGAGUCAGUGCCUGGAGGGAAGCUGGUCAACC